rnacentral:rRNA from 1 species
GAUGAACGCUGGCGGCGUGCCUAAUACAUGCAAGUCGAGCGAACAGACGAGGAGCUUGCUCCUCUGACGUUAGCGGCGGACGGGUGAGUAACACGUGGAUAACCUACCUAUAAGACUGGGAUAACUUCGGGAAACCGGAGCUAAUACCGGAUAAUAUAUUGAACCGCAUGGUUCAAUAGUUAAAGACGGUUUUGCUGUCACUUAUAGAUGGAUCCGCGCCGCAUUAGCUAGUUGGUAAGGUAACGGCUUACCAAGGCAACGAUGGGUAGCCGACCUGAGAGGGUGAUCGCCCACACUGGAACGGAGACACGGUCCAGACUCCUACGGGAGGCAGCAGUAGGGAAUCUUCCGCAAUGGGCGAAAGCUUGACGGAGCAACGCCGCGUGAGUGAUGAAGGUCUUCGGAUCGUAAAACUCUGUUAUUAGGGAAGAACAAAUGUGUAAGUAACUAUGCACGUCUUGACGGUACCUAAUCAGAAAGCCACGGCUAACUACGUG